AUAUGUUGCUUAAAGUAUUAAUAUUUAUUGGCAAUUUAUAUCACAAUAUUUCUAUGUUUUAAUUUAGCAACAAAAAUUUAAGCUUAUAUUUUCAUAUAGACAUAUUUCUGCCUCAAGUAUAAUUUUUAAAAUAUUAUUAUUAAUUUUGCUCUAUCACCCAGGCUGGAAUGCAGUGGCAGGAUCUUGGCUCAUUGUAACCUCUGCCCUCAAGCUCCAACAGCACUCCCACCUCAGCUUCCCAAGUAGUUGGGACCACAGUGUUUCAUCAUUAGAUGUGCCUGUGUGCAUGGGAUUGCUGCUGAGAAUCCAGAAUCACCGGAACAGAACAGGAAGUUAAGAAAGUGAGAGUUUAUCAAUAUGUGAGUAUCAUCCUAGGAAACAAAAUUUAAUGCAUCUACCCUGUGAGAUCAUACUAAUUCUCUUCUAGAAUAGCUUUUGAAACAUGAAAAAUUUUCUGACUACAAAUAAAUUAAGUAGAAAUUUUAGAGUUUCCAGGAAGACGGUGGGGGAAAAAAAGCAUCA
rnacentral:lncRNA from 1 species